UACGUAGGGGGCAAGCGUUGUUCGGAUUUACUGGGCGUAAAGGGCGCGUAGGCGGCGCGGUAAGUCACUUGUGAAAUCUCUGAGCUUAACUCAGAACGGCCAAGUGAUACUGCAGUGCUAGAGUGCAGAAAGGGCAAUCGGAAUUCUUGGUGUAGCGGUGAAAUGCGUAGAUAUCAAGAGGAACACCUGAGGCGAAGGCGGGUUGCUAGGCUGACACUGACGCUGAGGCGCGAAAGCCAGGGGAGCAAACGGG
rnacentral:rRNA from 1 species